rnacentral:rRNA from 1 species
GGCUUAUUGUUCAUGAUUUUAAGUCUAACCUGCCCAAUGAGGAAUUAAAUGGCCGCGGUAUAUUGACCGUGCAAAGGUAGCAUAGUCAUUAGUUUUUUAAUUGAAAGCUUGUAUGAAGGGUUUGAUGAGGGGGUAUCUGUCUCUGUAGAGAUUUAUUAGAAUUUUAUUUUUAAGUGAAAAAGCUUAGAUUUACAUAGAAGACAAGAAGACCCUAUAGAGUUUUAUAUUAUAUUAGAAUAUAAGUUUGUUGGGAUAAAAAAUUUAGGAAUUGAUAUAGUAUUUUAUUGGGGUGAUAGGAAAAUUAAACAAACUUUUCUUUAUUAAGACAUUUGUUUAUGAAUUUAUGAUCCUAGAGUUUAGAUUAUAAGAUAAAAUUACCUUAGGGAUAACAGCGUAAUCUUUUUUAGAGUUCUUAUCGAAAAGAAGGAUUGCGACCUCGAUGUUGGAUUAAAAUUUAUUGUUGGUGCAGAAGCUUACACAUUAGGUCUGUUCGACCUUUAAAAUUUUACAUGAUCUGAGUUUAAACCGGUGUGAG